UGGUUAUAUAUUCAGUAUCAACACUCAACAAUAAGCAGGAUACAUUAAAUACAUAAAAUCUACAGUGGCUGAGAGGGGCCACAGCACUUCCCAUUAGGACAGUACUAACAAAUGCAGAAGACACUGACAAAUAUGGUCUUACAUUUUAGAAAUUUUAAGAUAAAGAAGCCAAAUUUAUAGGUUUGUUUGUUUGUUGUUGUUUUUUUGAUGUUCUUAAAAAAUUCAAAUGUUUAAAAGCUUAAAAGGUACAUAAAUGUUUUGGCAGCACUGUACAAAAACAAAACAAAACAAAAACAAACAAACAAAAACCUACAUCAACUCAACAGCUGGUAGUUGUAUC